UACGGAGGGUGCAAGCGUUGUUCGGAAUUAUUGGGCGUAAAGUGCGCGUAGGCGGUUUAUUAAGUUACAUGUGAAAUCCCUCGGCUUAACCGAGGAACUGCGUGUAAUACUGGUAAACUUGAGUACUGGAGGGGAGAGUGGAAUUCCACGUGUAGGAGUGAAAUCCGUAGAUAUGUGGAGGAAUACCGGUGGCGAAGGCGACUCUCUGGCCAAGUACUGACGUUGAGGCGCGAAAGCGUGGGUAGCAAACAGG
rnacentral:rRNA from 1 species